rnacentral:rRNA from 1 species
GAUGAACGCUAGCUACAGGCUUAACACAUGCAAGUCGAGGGCAGCGCAGUGUAGCAAUACAUGGGCGGCGACCGGCGCACGGGUGCGUAACGCGUAUCCAACCUUCCCGUUACUCAGGGAUAGCCUUCCGAAAGGGAGAUUAAUACCUGAUGGUGUUUGAAUUCCGCAUGUUAUUCAAACUAAAGAUUUAUCGGUAACGGAUGGGGAUGCGUGACAUUAGAUAGUAGGCGGGGUAACGGCCCACCUAGUCUACGAUGUCUAGGGGUUCUGAGAGGAAGGUCCCCCCACACUGGAACUGAGACACGGUCCAGACUCCUACGGGAGGCAGCAGUUGAGGAAUAUUGGUCCAAUGGUCGGAAGACUGAACCAGCCAAGUAGCGUGAAGGAUUACAGCCCUACGGGUUUUAAACUUCUUUUAUACGGGAAUAAAACCUCCCACGUGUGGGGGCUUGUAUGUACCGUAUGAAUAAGCAUCGGCUAACUCCGUG